UUAAUUGAAGAGUUUGAUCAUGGCUCAGAUUGAACGCUGGCGGCAGGCCUAACACAUGCAAGUCGAGCGGCAGCACAAGUAAGUUUACUUAUGAGGUGGCGAGCGGCGGACGGGUGAGUAAUGCCUAGGGAUCUGCCCAGUCGAGGGGGAUAACAGUUGGAAACGACUGCUAAUACCGCAUACGCCCUACGGGGGAAAGAGGGGGACCUUCGGGCCUC
rnacentral:rRNA from 1 species